AACGAACGCUGGCGGCAGGCUUAACACAUGCAAGUCGAACGCCCCGCAAGGGGAGUGGCAGACGGGUGAGUAACGCGUGGGAAUCUACCUAGUUCUACGGAACAACAGUUGGAAACGACU
rnacentral:rRNA from 1 species